rnacentral:rRNA from 1 species
AGCGAACGCUGGCGGCAGGCCUAAUACAUGCAAGUCGAGCGGGUCCUUCGGGAUUAGCGGCGGACGGGUGAGUAACGCGUGGGAACGUGCCCUUUGGUACGGGAACAACUGAGGGAAACUUCAGCUAAUACCGUAUGUGCCCUUCGGGGAAAGAUUAUCGCCAUUGGAGCGGCCCGCGUUGGAUUAGGUAGUUGGUGAGGUAAAGGCUCACCAAGCCUACGAUCCAUAGCUGGUCUGAGAGGAUGACCAGCCACACUGGGACUGAGACACGGCCCAGACUCCUACGGGAGGCAGCAGUAGGGAAUCUUGCGCAAUGGGCGAAAGCCUGACGCAGCCAUGCCGCGUGAAUGAUGAAGGUCUUAGGAUUGUAAAAUCCUUUCACCGGGACGACAAUGAC